rnacentral:lncRNA from 1 species
UUGCCUACAUUGUUCCAUCGACCAGAGGUUGUUCACAAUUAGAGACCUGAUGCGGUUAUGACUAAGACCGGGCACGGACGACACUAGGGCUUCCAGAUUUUCAAGGGGUCGGGGAUGCACCGGACACCACACAACGUGCGGUACUUUUUCGACCGCUGGACCAUACCUCCGGUUGAGCCGUUUCCAAGGUGGACGGGUCGUUAAACAGAAAAGAUAACUCUUUUCGAGGCAUCCGUCGAUGUCUCCAGACUCCCUAACGUUACCGUCAGCUGUCGCGUCCAGGUUCAGGAAUUUUAACCCGAUUCCCUUUCGAAGCUCGCAUAGGAUGCACUAUCGGAUAGGCUUCCCCCAUCUCUUAGGAUCGACUAACCCAUGUGCAAGUGCCGUUCACAUGGAACCUUUCCCCUCUUCGGCCUUCAAAGUUGUCAUUUGAAUAUUUGCUACUACCACCAAGAUUUGCACCGAUGACCGCUCUGCCCGGGCUUGUGCCCUGGGUUUUACGGUGACCGUUGUGCCCUCCUACUCAUUAGGGCCAGGCCCUUGCCCUGAUGGUCGGGUAUAGGUCGUGCUCUUAAGUGCCAUCCAUUUUCGGGGCUAGUUGAUUCGGCAGGUGAGUUGUUACACACUCCUUAGCGGAUUUUGACUUCCAUGACCAUCGUCCUACUGUCUUAAUCGACCAACACCCUUUGUGGGUUCUGGGUUAGCGCGCAGUUAGGUGCCGUAACCUGGCUUCCAGUUCAUCCUGCAUCACCAGUUCUACUUACCAAAAAUGGCCCACUUGGAGUUCUCGAUUCCGUGGCCUGGCUCAAUGAAGCAGCCGCGCCGUCUUACCUAUUUAAAGUUUGAGAAUAGGUCGAGGGCAUUGCACCCCUGAUGCCUCUAAUCAUUGGUUUUACCCGAUAGAACUCGACGGGGGCUCCAACUAUCCUGAGGGAAACUUCGAAGGGAACUAGCUACUAGACAGUUUGAUUAGUCUUUCGCCCUUAUACCCAAGUCAGACGAAUGAUUUGCACGUCAGUAUUGCUACGAGCCUCCAUCAGAGUUUCCUCUGGCUUCAUCCCGCUCAGGCAUAGUUCACCAUCUUUUAGGUCUCGACGGGCAUGCUCGCACUCGAACCCUUCUCAGAUGAUCAAGGUCGAUCGACGGUGCACCCGUGAGGGAUCCCGCCAAUCAGCUUCCUUGCGCCUUACGGGUUUUUUGGCCCAUUGACUCGCAUGCAUGUAAGACUUUUUGGUCUGUGAUUCAAGACGGGUCGGAUAGGGAGCCUGCAGGCCAAUGCCUAUAGCACGCUUGUGCCGGGGCACGCCGAGACGACGUGUGCUGCGUUCCACGAUCAUAGUGGCGACGUCUCUAUGGGCACAUCAAAAGCCCAGGCUUAGGCUACCAUCGUGACCCGCGUCGGUCCAUGCCCCGAGCCGAUCGGUAGACCGGCCCCCAUCCGCUUCCCUCCUGAUAAUUUCAAGCACUCUUUGACUCUUUUUUCAAAAUCCUUUUCAUCUUUCCCUCAUGGUACUUGUUCGCUAUCGGUCUCUCACCCGUAUUCAACCUUGGAUAGAAUUUACUGCCUGAUGGGGCUGCAUUCCUAAACAACGUGACUCGCGGACAGUGCCUCGUGGUGUGGCAGGGUUCGGGCACAACAGGGCUCUCACCCUCUUCGAUGUACCUUUUCAGGGGACUUGGGCCCGGUCUGCCACUGAGGACGCUUCUCCAGACUACAAUUUGAAUGUCGGGGGUGCCCGAUUCUCAAGCUAGGCUUUUCCCGAUUCGCUCACCGUUACUAGGGUAAUCUUGGUAAGUUUCUUUUCCUCCGCUUAUUGAUAUGCUUAAACUCAGCGGGUGAUCUCGCCUGACCUGGGGUCAUGACGCGAGCAUCGACUGAGGAAUGCGAGGGGUCCGAAAGGGUCCAGGUGGACAAUGAGCACUCGUCACCAGGGACGAGGCACGUCGGGAGCUCUACCAUCGAUGGUCACGGCGCUAUCGUUACCGGGGACUCACUUUUGGGCCAAUCGUGACCCACGGGAACACGGGAGGCCAUCUUCCACCCGCCCCCUUCCCUCGAAGCCCGAAGGGUGGGGGGUCGGAGGGGGGCGACGGUGCAUGACACCCAGGCAGGCGUGCCUUCGACCUAAUGGCUUGGGGUGCAACUUGCAUUCAAAGACUCGAUGGUUCACAGGAUUCUACAAUUCACACCAAGUAUCGUAUUUUGCUACGUUCUUCAUCAAUGCGAGAGUCGGAGGGGGCUCAGGGUGCGAGGGCACCCUCGCCCCCUCAGUGUUUCAUUAACGCGUCCGUGGGUUGUCUGUCAAGUGGGGUUUUAACAAUGAUCCUUCCGCAGGUUCACCUACGGAAAACUUGUUACGACUUCUGCUUCCUCUAAAUGAUAAGGUUCAGUGGACUUCUCGUGACGUCACAGACGGCGGACCGUCCACGUCGUCGUGAUCCGAACACUUCACCGGACCAUUCAAUCGGUAGGAGCGAUGGGCGGUGUGUACAAAGGGCA